rnacentral:rRNA from 1 species
CUUCGGAACCUGNNNNNAGUGGCGCACGGGUGAGUAACGCGUAGAUAACCUGUCCUGGUGUCUGGGAUAACCCUUCGAAAGGGGGACUAAUACCGGAUACGCUGGUUUCUCAUAAGGGGAAUCAGGAAAGAUGGCCUCUGAUUUAAGCUAUCGCAUUUGGAGGGGUCUGCGUACCAUUAGCUAGUUGGUGGGGUAAAAGCCUACCAAGGCUUCGAUGGUUAGCGGGUCUGAGAGGAUGAUCCGUCACACUGGCACUGAAACACGGGCCAGACUCCUACGGGAGGCAGCAGUGAGGAAUAUUGCGCAAUGGGGGAAACCCUGACGCAGCGACGCCGCGUGAGUGAGGAAGGCCUUCGGGUCGUAAAGCUCUGUCAGAAGGGAAGAAAUGCUAUAUGGUUAAUACCCGUAUAGUUUGACGGUACCUUCAAAGGAAGCACCGGCUAACUCCNNGCCAGCAGCCGCGGUAACACGGAGGGUGCAAGCGUUGUUCGGAAUCACUGGGCGUAAAGGGCGCGCAGGCGGUUUGAUAAGUCAGAUGUGAAAGCCCACGGCUCAACCGUGGAAGUGCAUUUGAAACUGUUAGACUUGAGUACUAGAGGGGAAAGUGGAAUUCCCGGUGUAGAAAGUG